AACGAACGCUGGCGGCAUGCCUAACACAUGCAAGUCGAACGAGACCUUCGGGUCUAGUGGCGCACGGGUGCGUAACGCGUGGGAACCUGCCCUUAGGUUCGGAAUAACUCCCCGAAAGGGGUGCUAAUACCGGAUAAUGUCUUCGGACCAAAGAUUUAUCGCCUUUGGAUGGGCCCGCGUUGGAUUAGCUAGUUGGUAGGGUAAAAGCCUACCCAGGCGACGAUCCAUAGCUGGUCUGAGAGGAUGAUCAGCCACACUGGGACUGGGACACGGCCCAGACUCCUCCGGGAGGCAGCAGUAGGGAAUAUUGGACAAUGGGCGAAAGCCUGAUCCAGCCAUGCCGCGUGAGUGAUGAAGGCCUUAGGGUUGUAAAGCUCUUUUACCCGCGAUGAUAAUGACAGUACCGGGAGAAUAAGCUCCGCCUAACUCCGUG
rnacentral:rRNA from 1 species